rnacentral:hammerhead_ribozyme from 1 species
GGAAUGCUGAAGAGUCCAAUAAUAGGACGAAACGACCGUUCAGUAC